UGGAUCGAUGAUGACCACUGGUGGCGUAUGAGUUGGAGUCAAUGACUACAUGUGAAAUCUGAGGUCCAA